CUCUAAACCUGCACUAACAAGGUUUUGUUUCCCAUAUUCAUAUUUCAAUGUCUCUCCUGAUUAUUCUGUGUCUAUAGGCAGUCACUGCUCUUGGGGCUGCUAGGUGGGUGAGAGGAGAACUGAAGUAAUGCCUUUUUUUUUUUUUUUUUUUUUUUGGUACAGAGUUUGAGAUGAAUUCCAUGACCUUUCCUAUGUCCCCAAGUUGAAAUCAAGACUGUUCUUUUCUGAGGAGAGGAAGCUUCACCUGAGCAGGGCCCAUGAUGUUAUACAGAGAGGAGCCGGGUGCCAUUUAA
rnacentral:lncRNA from 1 species